ensembl:lncRNA
CGGGGAGGGGCGGGGUGGCGCCUCCGUUCACCUUCGCUUGCAUCCGCUGAAGGGAGCUCCUGGCCCGCAGGGGGCGAGGGCGGGGGCGGGCCCUAAGAAGGCGCCCCUCGGCCCCUAGGCCUUCCACAGGCCCCCUCCCCCCAGCCCCCAGCUCUCAUCAGCCCGCGCCUUCUCUACAACUUUCUCCCCUCACCCUUCACAAUUUUCGCUCACCUGGAGGGUCUGGUUUUAAUUAGUGUAAUAUCCCCGUUAACAACGCAGCCUAAUUAAGACAUCCGCCCCGAGUCCGCGAUUCACACUUAAUGAGCACGCUCUGCCGCAAUGUUUAUACUCUUUUUUUCAUUAUUUUUUGCAGACUAGUAAAACCAAAGCCAGCUUCUGGCUAAAAGACUUCAUUACAGACGACCCCACUCCAUGAGCCCCGUACCUGCUCCAUGCUAAGUGCCCUGGGCUCCCCAGCCAAGUCGGCGUUAGAGGCAGGAAAUUAACGACCCGGCGAGCACGAGCGAGAGAAGCGACUUCAUCUCCAGCUGCGGAAGGAGGGGACUCUCCCAGGGACGGAUCCCUCCGCCCCAGCCCUCGGCCUGCACCGCCCGGAGCAGAAGUGGGCAGCUCGGUCAUCCAGGAGUUUCGACCCACCUCGCUGGCCCCCAGCCCAGCCCAGCCCAGCCCAGCCAGCGGACUCCAGGAACAUCCCGCCCACACUCCCCGUGAGACCCUGGGUUCCCGGGCCCCUCAGGACGCUGGUCGCCGCGUCUCAAGUCCUCGCACGGCCUGGGUGCGGGCCCCGGUUGGCCAGGCGCUGCGGGGCCGCGCGCCAGGGGAGGCUCCGCGCCUCGGUGUAAGGGAAUGGAGUAAUCCCGCCGACUCCAAACCCAGCCAUAGUGGUUGUCCAGAUUGGCCAAUCGGACCACCUUCAACAUUUCCACCCAGGUGAAAAUCCCCAGGUACUGGAGAGCAGAAGAAAGGCAACAGUAAUCAGCUGUAGGCUUCAGAAAAGUCAAGGCAGGAGGGCACAGCCCAUGGAAAUGGCAAGCAAAAACUUCGAAGGCUCAGAACCAGCAGUCCAGCACCGACACUCUGACCUUCACCCUCUGUGUCAGCACCCAGGGGAGUCUUCCAGAGGAAACUGACGCUCACCAAGAGGAAAUGUAAAGAGACAGCUUUGCCAUUCCUCAGCCAAGACCCCAGUCAGUCUCUCCAGAGGGAAGCCCCAGCACAAGCCCACCCAGCCCCAAGCUGCCUCCCUCGAGCUCAUUUGAGCCCUUCAGACAACCCUGAAGAGAAAACCCAACAAGACAACCACCAGGGUAGGGGCAGGUGAGGGGGGAUCUUUGAAGAAACAGACUUAGGCAAGGAGGAGAAAAUAUCAGAAAUAGCCGUAUUUAAUAUCCUCGAAGAGAUCAGAGGAGAUAUUGCAUCCCAGAACCAAGAGCAGGAUGCUAUUUUAAGGAGAACAUUUAGAGAACAAAAAGGGCUGGGAAAUUAAAAGCAUGAGAGCCGAAACAAAAAAAAAAAAACUCAACAGACUGGUUGGAAGAUAAAAGUAAGCGAAUGUCCCAGAAGGCACAGCAAAAAGACAAAGAGGAAAAAAGAAAGAAAGGAGGAAAAAUUAGAUGCCACAUUCAAACUACACAAAAGAAUCCUGGGGCGGCGGGCCGGGGGGUGAAUGAGAAUCACAAACUAUUUAAUUCAAGAAAUGUUCCCAGAAAUGAGAAUGAGUUUUCAAAUUCUACACACAAUGGAUGGAAAUUGACCCACAUCAAGGCAUAUUAUAAUAGAAAAUAGAGAAAGUUCCCUCAGGUUUCCAAGCACUAUGAAAAAGAGCAAGGGUGAGAGUGACUCCUGAAUUUUCAACAGCAACAGCAGGGCAAGCUAACAAACAACACAGUAUGCCUUCAAAACGCCAACAGAUAGUGAUUUCUGGCCUAGAAUCUUUUACUUAAUCAAAACGACAAUAAAAUGUGAAUUAAAAUAAAGACGUUUGAAUAGGCAAAGUGUCAAAAAUAUUAUUUCCUGUGUGCCAUCUUCCAGCUACUGCAGGAUGUGCUCCAACAAAACAAAGAAGGAGAACAUGAAAGAGGGCAACAAGGGAGAGAGAAAACAGGGGCUCCACUAAGAAAACAAGAGGGACAGGUGCACAGGACAGUGAGAAGAGAUGACAAGAGGGCAGAUGUGCACUAGGCAAGAAGCCAUCGUCUAAAUGAGAGCAGGGAAACCAGACAAGCCAACUGUCCAGGGCACAGACACAUCGAGGGCUGUCGUCAGUGAAAUGCUUUUGACACCGUAAAAACCUGGCCUAGAAUCUUCUCUGUACUCAGAGGCCAGGCUGAGAUGGAGUUCCCCCUCCUCUCUCUCUGCAGCACAACUGAUAUAGGCUGGACACAUUUCAGCCCUCAGAGGUCUCCUACCUUGACCCACUCUUAGAAAUGGGAAGGAGGUCACCGUGAGCUAGGAAACAGAAAGGCAGAUCAGCUGCUUACCCCACCCAGCACCCAGCCAGGCACCCCAGCUGGCGUCUCCUUUCCCCAGGACCCCUUAUGCCCUGCUUACUCUCGAAAAGGGUCUCUUGAAAAUUGCUGGGCAACUGAGGUCCAAGACCUUUCCCUUUGUCUCCUCCCAGGCCCCUCCCUCUAGGAACAGCAGCCCAAAGGCACCUUGGGCAGAGAGGACACCGAAGGUCAGCUUCUGUCUCCAUCACCAUGCACAUCCACUCUGGAAGUUAAUGACAGCACAAAAAUAGGGUAAAAUGUUUGAGGAAAACAGGGUAUGAGGGGGCUUCUUUCCCAUCACCAGCUUUUAACGUUAGGCCCACAGAUAAGCAAUACCACAGGCUGCUGCGGAGAUUAUGUUACAUCUGGUACCAGGUUGCCCAAGUGGUCUAAUUUUAUUUUAUUUCAUUUUAUUUUAUUUAUUUUUGUGGUUCUGG